rnacentral:tRNA from 1 species
ACCUGGCUGGCUCAUCUGGUAGAGAGUGUGACUCUCGAUCUCAGGGCCGUGAGUUCAAGCCCCACACUGGGUG